rnacentral:lncRNA from 1 species
UCGACAAUUUAACUAAUGUUAGUCAUUUUAAAUUAAUGAAAUAUAAUAUAUAUAUACUUACGUGAUUAAUUGCAAAAAAAAUAUAAAGUUUUAGUGAUAAAUAUAAAAUUUUUAAAUUUUAGACAGCUAUUUUCAAACAACCAAAAGUUGAAAUGGAUUUAUCCCUAUUAUCUUCUUUUUCUAAUUCCCCAAAAGCACCAAAUUUUGAUAGCAAAGAAACAAA